rnacentral:rRNA from 1 species
GACGAACGCUGGCGGCGUGCCUAAUACAUGCAAGUUGAGCGCUGAAGGUUGGUCCUUGUACCAACUGGAUGAGCAGCGAACGGGUGAGUAACGCGUGGGGAAUCCGCCUUUGAGCGGGGGACAACAUUUGGAAACGAAUGCUAAUACCGCAUAAAAACUUUAAACACAAGUUUUAAGUUUGAAAGAUGCAAUUGCAUCACUCAAAGAUGAUCCCGCGUUGUAUUAGCUAGUUGGUGAGGUAAAGGCUCACCAAGGCGAUGAUACAUAGCCGACCUGAGAGGGUGAUCGGCCACAUUGGGACUGAGACACGGCCCAAACUCCUACGGGAGGCAGCAGUAGGGAAUCUUCGGCAAUGGACGAAAGUCUGACCGAGCAACGCCGCGUGAGUGAAGAAGGUUUUCGGAUCGUAAAACUCUGUUGGUAGAGAAGAACGUUGGUGAGAGUGGAAAGCUCAUCAAGUGACGGUAACUACCCAGAAAGGGACGGCUAACUACGUG